GAGAGCCGGAUGAUCAGGAAACUAUCAAGUCCGGUUCGGCGGGAGGCUGCGCGGAAAAGGACCAACCCACAG
rfam:Frankia sp. ETN1f ctg00079, whole genome shotgun sequence.